rnacentral:rRNA from 1 species
UACGUAGGGCGCAAGCGUUAUCCGGAAUUAUUGGGCGUAAAGAGCUCGUAGGCGGUUUGUCGCGUCUGCCGUGAAAGUCCGGGGCUCAACUCCGGAUCUGCGGUGGGUACGGGCAGACUAGAGUGAUGUAGGGGAGACUGGAAUUCCUGGUGUGGCGGUGAAAUGCGCAGAUAUCAGGAGGGACACCGAUGGCGAAGGCAGGUCUCUGGGCAUUAACUGACGCUGAGGAGCGAAAGCAUGGGGAGCGAACAGG